CUCAAGCUGGUGAAUCCGCGAUUGCGUACUAGAGAAGGGGGCCUUUGGGAAGUCUCAAAUGCUACGCUUAAAUUUUCCUGGAGUCCAGAUGUCCUUCUGAAUCCACUAAGCCUUGUGAAGCGAUGGGAACGUCAGUACCUGGUGUGUAAGAGGAAGCUGGAGAGUAAGAAGGAAGCCCUGCUGAUCCUCUCCAAGGAGCUGGACACCUGUCAACAGGAAAGGGACCAGUACAAACUCAUGGCCAAUCAGCUCCGGGAGCGCCACCAGUCACUGAAGAAGAAGUACCGAGAGCUGAUUGAUGGAGAUCCAUCACUUCCUCCUGAAAAAAGGAAACAGGCUAAUCUUGCACAACUAUUGAGAGAUUCUCAGGACCGAAAUAAACAUCUGGGAGAAGAAAUUAAAGAACUUCAGCAAAGGCUUGGAGAAGUCCAGGGCGACAACAAGCUCUUGAGGAUGACGAUUGCCAAACAAAGGCUCGGAGACGAAGAAAUCGGCGUGCGACACUUUGCAGCCCAUGAGCGUGAAGACUUGGUGCAGCAGCUAGAGCGAGCUAAGGAACAGAUUGAGUCUCUGGAGCAUGACCUGCAGGCUUCUGUGGACGAGCUUCAGGAUGUUAAAGAAGAACGGUCUUCCUACCAGGACAAAGUGGAGAGGCUCAACCAGGAGCUGAACCAUAUCCUGAGUGGGCACGAGAACCGCAUCAUUGACGUGGACGCCCUGUGUAUGGAGAACAGGUACCUUCAAGAGAGAUUAAAGCAACUCCAUGAAGAGGUCAACCUCUUGAAAUCAAACAUUGCCAAAUACAAGAAUGCUCUGGAGAGACGGAAAAACUCGAAGGGCCAGGGUAAAUCCAGCAGCAGUGCUCUGACAGGAGUCCUGUCUGCAAAGCAAGUUCAGGAUCUGCUAUCUGAGGAUCAUGGAUGCAGCCUCCCAGCUACUCCGCAGUCCAUUUCUGACCUGAAAUCUCUGGCAACAGCCCUGUUGGAAACAAUCCACGAGAAAAACAUGGUCAUUCAGCACCAGAGGCAAACCAACAAGUAGGUGGCCAAACUCUUGGGUUGGGGGGUGGGCUUGAAGGAAGUGGGACGAGACUAUCAGAAGUGAAUGUCAACCAGCUGGAACCACAGACCUGCAGGGAAGGUGAGACCCCUCAAAUCAAGAAGGAAACUUAUUAAACUAGAAUGGUGCUUCUGCUUUAUAUCAGCAUCUUGGCUAUCAGCUGGAGCCAAGCAAGGAAAGAGUACCGGCCAUACUGAAUGCUUACUCUGAGCUAUGCACUGAGUAGUAUGUAUUUCAUGGAUGAGUUCCAUAAAAUAAUUGCCUGGGUGACUUGACCCACCUCUCCUCCAGCUCUUGUUUUAGGGGAGAAACUGCCUCAGUGCCAUUUGAAACUCCCAGCAUGACUUUGAGGGUCUUUUAAUGGCAGAAAUCGCCCAAGCAUCAACUUCCACAGGCUGCUGGGCCUAGAAAAGAAUCUCAUGUCACUCUUCCAGAUCCGCAAAAAAGAUGGUGAAAAGAAAGCGUAAUUAAAAUGGAAUGUCUUAUUUGGUUUUUAUAGCAUGUUGACUAUGUUAUGUAAAACCAAGCAGGUUAAAGUAGCCAUUAAAGAUGACAGAGGCAAUAUCAAGAGUGUUCAGAGAAUGGUGAAUAAACAAUAAAUUAAAGUAGCAAAUACUACACAUGGGGUUGGCUUUCUGGGCAUGCAACCUGUGCUCAGAAGGACCCCACAUUAGGUCUGAUCUUCCACUGUCACCAUCUUGGAAUUCUUAGUCAUUGUUUUAACAAGAGGGUCCCACAUUUUUAUUUUGCACUGGACCCUGCAAAUUAUGUAGCUGGUCCUGCUUGCAAGACAGACGUACACCUGGAACCAAAAUGCAGGUGUGAGAGAACUGUGCGGGGCCUGGAAAGCUAGGCUUCAAGUGACAAAGGGAGGGACCAGAGAAUCUGGGGCCUGAUGAACGCAGGGGCAUGAUGAACGCAGGGACAUGGGAGAGAGGCAAGUGGAAAGUGAUUGAAAGUAUCAUAAAAACAAAAUAGAAAAAGAGAAGCUGGAGUGAAGGGAAGAUUGCACCAGAGAUGAAGAUGUAUGUGGAAGAAAGUGGAGAGCAGCAAAGGGAAGCAGGGCAAUCUCGAAGGGAUGACAAGGGUCAUUUAUUGACAGGAGAAGGUUUAAAUGUUCUUGAAAAGUGAAAUCUUAACCAAGGAAUGAAAAGUCAGACACUGAAAUGCAGAUGCUUCUCAGGGGAGGAAGAAGGAAUGGGCAUCCCCUGCAGCACGAAAUGUCCUCCAUGAGCUGGCUUCGUCCUUCCCUCUCUACAGAUACCUCAUCUUUCAAGCCUUCUCAGGUCUUCUAAACCCUGGUCCAUUCUCAGCAGGUGACCACUGUUCUUCAUUCAGUGAGAAAAUGGGGCUUCUCACCAUGAGCCUCUCAACUUGCGGCUGCCCUGAAACCAGUGUCUCCCCAUGUUCUGCUCACUCCUGUCUCCAGAAAGUACACCAGCUGCCAUCUUGUUGGUCCAUGGGAUCUUUCCUCUUCUGGGCCUCUGCUCCCCUGGGACCUCCUGUCUCACCCUCUUCAACCUCCUCCCUUCCUCUGGCUUUUGCCUCUUUGCCCUGAACCCCCAAAGCCUUUCCUCAACCCUGCUGCCUUCCCAAAAAUACCACCAGCCUGGAAUGUUUUUGAAGAAGGCCUCCUCUCCUUCCUCAAUAGCUACCCUGUCUAAAUGUAUUCCAGGAGGUCACUUAUGUUGGAAUUGCUUGGGUGCAGCGGCUGUGGGGUGGGGACACUUGUUUAUAAAUGCAGAAUCAGGGAUUUGUGGGAGGGAAGGUUAGGAUUCUGGAUUUUAGUAAGUCCCGGGUAAGUCCAUGCACAGGAAAGAAAGAUAACCUUGGCUUUAAUGCCUCCCAAGACCUCUUCCUACAUUUCCUACGGCAUUCUUUCUUUGCAGGUCACCAGUAUCCCCAAACUCCACCUUUGAGUCUCUUUCUUCUUUAAUUUCUUCACAUCGAGAUUUUCAUCUUGAAAUCCAAGUAAGGUGGAUUUCAAGGGGGAAACUCCAGCCUUCUCCACUGUCUCAUUUCCUUUUCCCACCUCUCCCCUGACCCCCACCCCAGACCCACUCCAUCUUUUUUCUCUGUCUUCUGUGCUUUUUCCCCCACCUGGGAGACCUCAUUCCCUGUCUCUGUCUUUGCCUCUCAUUCUCUGCAGACUCUUCUCAGAUCUCUUGUCCCCACCACCCCAUCAAGAGCAAGACCAAGACCCACAUUUCCAACUUCUGGUUGAUGGUUUCUCCGGAUAUCCUUUCGGCUCCUCAAAUUCCAUCAGUCAACAUCCAUCCUAGUAUGUUUCAAAAAUGGUUAUGCCCUUUGACCAUCACUUCUUCCUUGGGGAGACCCUCCCACAGCUCCAUCCUCAGACCCCAGUCCUACCUCCCCCGCCUAACCCACCUGCCAGCUACAGUUCUGAGCAUGACACUAGCCUUCUCUGCAAAGCAGGCUGAGUCCCCAUUGCCUGCCAAAGGCAGCAUCCACAGGCUAUCGGCCUGACAUGCCUCUGCAGAGGAUCCCAGCCUCCUCUGACAGGUUGAUUCCCUAAUGUGUUCCUAACCAUACCCACUGCAAACACACCCAUUCCCCAGGUUCACAGCACUCUCUCCCUCCAUUGUGAAAGACUGACAUUUUCAUUUGACCAUGUUUAUUUUUGUUUCUAUAUACUUUUUCAUGUUUAUUUUUUAAUAAUUUUUGAGCCAUCCUCUGGGUUUUUUGUUUGUUUGUUUGUUUUGACAGGGUCUUGCUGUGUCUCCCAGGCUGGAGUGCAGUGGCAUAGUCUUGGCUCACUACAACCUCCACCUCCCAGGUUCAAGUGAUUCUUGUGCCUCAGCCUCCCUUGUAGCUGGGACCACAGGUGCACGCCACCACACCUGACUAAUUUUUUUGUAUUUUUUUAGUAGAGAUAGGGUUUUACCAUGUUGCCCAGGCUGGUCUCAAACUCUUAACCUGAAGUCAUCCGCCCGCCUCGGCCUCCCAAAGUGCUGAGAUUACAGGCAUGAGCCACCAUGCCUGGCCUCUGUGGUUUUAAUUUAAUAUUAAUUUAAGGUUAAACAACAAUGUCUUUCCAAACUACUCCCAGCUACCUUAAUCCCCUUCCUGGAAGAAACGUCCAUUCCUCAUUUCUUAUGUAUCCUUCCAAAGGAUGCAUAGACAGUAUAAGCAAAUGCACAAUACAUUUAUGUAUAUACACAUACUCAUAUAUUUACAUAGAUAUACUGUCUUUUUUUUUUUUUUACAAACGGUCACUUGUAUUCAUUUUUUAAAAAGGUUUCUUUUUUCAUUAUUCUGCCUCUUGAUUUUUUCCCCUGUAAUAAUGGAUCUUGGAGAUUGUUUCAUAUCAGCACGUAAGUUGCCUAAUGUGCCAUCUUUAAUACUUAGAGGGUCCUCUGUUUCAUACUUUUAAUAAAUGUUUUAUUUGGGGGCAUGUAAAGAAACUAAUUAUACUACAAAUGGAAUGAGGGCUGAGAAUAGAAUGUGACUUUGGUCUGUGUGUGUUCUCUCCCUUGAUUUAGCCUUGUGCAACUGAAAUAAUAAAAUAGCUUUUGGAAUACACUGGAAACUACCCUGGUCUCUGUGUGCAUGCCCCAAUUGCAAUCUUAGAAAAAAAUAAUAAUUAAUUAAUUUAAAAAAGAAAAGAAAUGGCUUUAUUUUGCUGGAGCACUAUACAUAGCAGUAAAGGUGUUCCUUCCUGGCAGCGUAUGCUCCCCUGCUGGUUUUCCACUGCCUGACAGUUACCACCCUUGAGAGGCUCCAACGGGAGCCAUCUCGAAGAAUUGAUGAAGAAACCUAGGACUUUACAUCUUGAGCAACAUUCAAUUAAUAGGCAAUUUGCUUGAGCUACUUCUUGCCAGCAAGUUGGCAGUUGCCUGCUGAUCGAGAAAGAACGGAUGUGAGGUUCAUUCAUCUUUCAAACUGGGUGGCAAAGCAUUCGUGGACGAGGUGGUUGUUCAAGGGCCAUUUCACUGUGCACCACAUUUCGUUCUCCAGACCUUCCCCCCAGGCCCAUGCCUUACCAUGGCGGGGAGGUGGUGGUGAAUAUAUGAGGACAUAUUGGCCUUUUGCUAUCCUUCCUGCUAUGCUUGAAACCGUUUCCUCUUCUCUUUCCCUGGCCAAUGGUAAAUGAGCUUGAAGUUCAGCAUCUUGGGGAGCAGCAGCAAGAGGGCGUAUGGAUCAGAGCAGAGACGUGAAAGGAGGCCACCUGGAGUAGAAGGAAGCAGGGGCGUCUUCAGGCAUGUAGAGACACAGUUACCUGCUUCCCCUUUAGAGCCAGGCUUUCCUUAAAGACCUUCACUCAGGUAUUCCUGCUGUCUGUGUUGUCCAGAGAGCAAGCACAGUAGUGCAGUUCCUGUGUGAGUUCUGUCUUCACAGACUCCUCAUCCUACCUUUGAUGAUGUCAUUACUAUCUAAAACCACUGCAGGGAAGCCAUCUGGAGACUGGGCAUCCUGAGAGAUUUUCCUAGACUACUAGGUAGAUACAUGCUGAAACCUCCCCCAAAACAACCCAUAACUAAAUAAAAACUUUAAAACUUUAAAAUCUCCCUCAUCCUGCAAAAACAAAAAACAAAA
rnacentral:sRNA from 1 species